AUCUAGGCUCUUGCAUCGAUGAAGAACGUAGCGAAAUGCGAUACUUGGUGUGAAUUGCAGAAUCCCGUGAACCAUCGAGUCUUUGAACGCAAGUUGCGCCCGAUGCCAUUAGGUUGAGGGCACGUCUGCCUGGGUGUCACAUAUCGAAGCCUCCUGUCAAUUUC
rnacentral:rRNA from 1 species